GUCUCACUGUGUUCAGUUAGUCAAUAGAGCAUGAGACUCUUUAUCUCAGGAUUGUGGGUUCGAGCUUCAUGUUGGGCA